AAGCAUCUAAGCGGGAAACCCACCUCAAAACAAGGUCUCCCCAAGGGCCGUGAUAGACCAUCACGUCAAUAGGCCAGGUGUGGAAGCGCAGUAAUGCGUGCAGCUAACUGGUCCUAAUCGCCCAACAGGCUCAUUCCA
rnacentral:rRNA from 1 species